rnacentral:rRNA from 1 species
AAGCAUAUCAAUAAGCGGAGGAAAAGAAACCAACAGGGAUUGCCCCAGUAACGGCGAGUGAAGCGGCAACAGCUCAAAUUUGAAAUCUGGCUUCGGCCCGAGUUGUAAUUUGCAGAGGAUGUUUAUGGUGCGGUACCUUCCGAGUUCCCUGGAACGGGACGCCACAGAGGGUGAGAGCCCCGUCUGGUUGGAUACCAAACCUGUGUUAAACUCCUUCAACGAGUCGAGUAGUUUGGGAAUGCUGCUCUAAAUGGGAGGUAAAUCUCUUCUAAAGCUAAAUACCGGCCAGAGACCGAUAGCGCACAAGUAGAGUGAUCGAAAGAUGAAAAGCACCUUGAAAAGGGGGUUAAACAGUACGUGAAAUUGUUGAAAGGGAAGCGUUUAUGACCAGACUUGUGUCGUGUGGCUCAUCCGAGGUUCUCCCCGGUGCACUCCACACGGCUCAGGCCAACAUCGGUUCUCGUCGGGGGAUAAGAACAGUAGGAACGUGGCCCCCCUCGGGGGGUGUUAUAGCCUACUGUACGAUACCUUGAUGGGGACCGAGGACCGCGCUUCGGCUAGGAUGUUGG